rnacentral:rRNA from 1 species
UACGGAGGGGGCUAGCGUUGUUCGGAAUUACUGGGCGUAAAGCGCACGUAGGCGGCUUUGUAAGUUAGAGGUGAAAGCCCGGGGCUCAACUCCGGAAUUGCCUUUAAGACUGCAUCGCUAGAAUUGUGGAGAGGUAAGUGGAAUUCCGAGUGUAGAGGUGAAAUUCGUAGAUAUUCGGAAGAAACACCAGUGGCGAAGGCGACUUACUGGACACAUAUUGACGCUUGAGGUGCGAAAAGCGUGGGGAGCAAACAGG